UGAGGAAUUUUGCGCAAUGGGGGAAACCCUGACGCAGCAACGCCGCGUGGGCGAUGAAGGCCUUCGGGUCGUAAAGCCCUGUCGGGCGGGAAGAACGCUCUUGGUCGAAGGACUGGGGGGUGACGGUACCGCCAGAGGAAGCACCGGCUAACUCCGUGCCAGCAGCCGCGGUACUACGGAGGGUGAAAGCGUUAUUCGGAAUUACUGGGCGUAAAGGGCGUGCCGGCGGGAGGGCAAGUCUGAGGUGAAAGCCCGGGGCUUAACCCCGGAAGGGCAUUGGAAACUG
rnacentral:rRNA from 1 species